rnacentral:rRNA from 1 species
UCUACCAGCCAUACCACCCUGAACGCGCCCAAUCUUGUCUGAUCUCGGAAGCUAAGCGGGGUCCAGCCCGGUCAGUAAUUGGGUGGGAGACUUGUCCUUGUAGGACUUUAUGAUGUUGUUGGCU